rnacentral:rRNA from 1 species
CAGCACCUCAAGUGGUCAGGAUGAUUAUUGGGCCCAAAGCAUCCGUAGCCGGCGCUGUAAGUUUUCGGUUAAAUCUGUACGCUCAACGUACAGGCUGCCGGGAAUACUGCAGCGCUAGGGAGUGGGAGAGGUAGACGGUACUCGGUAGGAAGGGGUAAAAUCCUUUGAUCUAUUGAUGACCACCUGUGGCGAAGGCGGUCUACCAGAACACGUCCGACGGUGAGGGAUGAAAGCUGGGGGAGCAAACCGGAUUAGAUACCCGAGUAGUCC